rnacentral:rRNA from 1 species
GAGAGCGGCGGACGGGUGAGUAAUGCCUAGGAAUCUGCCUGGUAGUGGGGGAUAACGCUCGGAAACGGACGCUAAUACCGCAUACGUCCUACGGGAGAAAGCAGGGGACCUUCGGGCCUUGCGCUAUCAGAUGAGCCUAGGUCGGAUUAGCUAGUUGGUGAGGUAAUGGCUCACCAAGGCGACGAUCCGUAACUGGUCUGAGAGGAUGAUCAGUCACACUGGAACUGAGACACGGUCCAGACUCCUACGGGAGGCAGCAGUGGGGAAUAUUGGACAAUGGGCGAAAGCCUGAUCCAGCCAUGCCGCGUGUGUGAAGAAGGUCUUCGGAUUGUAAAGCACUUUAAGUUGGGAGGAAGGGCAUUAACCUAAUACGUUAGUGUUUUGACGUUACCGACAGAAUAAGCACCGGCUAACUCUGUGCCAGCAGCCGCGGUAAUACAGAGGGUGCAAGCGUUAAUCGGAAUUACUGGGCGUAAAGCGCGCGUAGGUGGUUCGUUAAGUUGGAUGUGAAAUCCCCGGGCUCAACCUGGGAACUGCAUUCAAAACUGUCGAGCUAGAGUAUGGUAGAGGGUGGUGGAAUUUCCUGUGUAGCGGUGAAAUGCGUAGAUAUAGGAAGGAACACCAGUGGCGAAGGCGACCACCUGGACUGAUACUGACACUGAGGUGCG